ACGCUGGCGGCGUGCUUAACACAUGCAAGUCGAACGCUGAAGCCCAGCUUGCUGGGUGGAUGAGUGGCGAACGGGUGAGUAACACGUGAGUAACCUGCCCCCUUCUUUGGGAUAACGCCCGGAAACGGGUGCUAAUACUGGAUAUUCACUGAUCUUCGCAUGGGGGUUGGUGGAAAGGUUUUUUCUGGUGGGGGAUGGGCUCGCGGCCUAUCAGCUUGUUGGUGGGGUGAUGGCCUACCAAGGCUUUGACGGGUAGCCGGCCUGAGAGGGUGACCGGUCACAUUGGGACUGAGAUACGGCCCAGACUCCUACGGGAGGCAGCAGUGGGGAAUAUUGCACAAUGGGCGAAAGCCUGAUGCAGCGACGCCGCGUGAGGGAUGACGGCCUUCGGGUUGUAAACCUCUUUCGCUCAUGGUCAAGCCGCAGCUUUGGGUUGUGGUGAGGGUAGUGGGUAAAGAAGCGCCGGCUAACUGCGUGCCAGCAGCCGCGGUAAUACGUAGGGCGCGAGCGUUGUCCGGAAUUAUUGGGCGUAAAGGGCUUGUAGGCGGUUGGUCGCGUCUGCCGUGAAAUCCUCUGGCUUAACUGGGGGCGUGCUGUGGGUACGGGCUGACUUGAGUGCGGUAGGGGAGACUGGAACUCCUGGUGUAGCGGUGGAAUGCGCAGAUAUCAGGAAGAACACCGGUGGCGAAGGCGGGUCUCUGGGCCGUUACUGACGCUGAGGAGCGAAAGCGUGGGGAGCGAACAGGAUUAGAUACCCUGGUAGUCCACGCUGUAAACGUUGGGCACUAGGUGUGGGGGCCACCCGUGGUUUCUGCGCCGUAGCUAACGCUUUAAGUGCCCGCCUGGGGAGUACGGCCGCAAGGCUAAAACUCAAAGAAAUUGACGGGGGCCGCCCAGCGGCGA
rnacentral:rRNA from 1 species